CCAGCUAAUAAGGGUAAAGACAGAGCAUGGAUAGAAGAUUUGUCCCUUCAGGAGUUGCUGGUAAACUUAACAGAACCAGUUCUGUUGGUGUGAGUAAUGCAGCAGCUACAGAACACUGCUUUUUUAAAAAAAGAAAUGUAACCCUUACUAAUACUGUAGUUGUUAAUGGGAACGGAGGUAUGGCUUACAAAUGUGAAUCUCAGCUUUUGAUAUUAUAA
rnacentral:lncRNA from 1 species